GUGGGCGUAGCUCAAUGGUAGAGCCCCUGGUUGUGGUCCAGGUGGUUGGGGGUUCGAGUCCCCUCGCCCACCCCA
rnacentral:tRNA from 1 species